UUUAGGGCCCGCAUUGUAAUUUGUAGAGGAUGCUUCAGGUGCGGCGCUGGUCUAAGUUCUUUGGAACAAGACGUCAUAGAGGGUGAGAAUCCCGUAUGUGACUAGCUGCCUGUGCCUGUGUGAAGCUCCUUCGACGAGUCGAGUUGUUUGGGAAUGCAGCUCAAAAUGGGUGGUGUACUUCAUCUAAAGCUAAAUAUUGGCCAGAGACCGAUAGCGCACAAGUAGAGUGAUCGAAAGAUGAAAAGCACUUUGGAAAGAGAGUUAAACAGUACGUGAAAUUGUUGAAAGGGAAGCGCUUGCAAUCAGACUUGCGCGGCGUCGAUCAACCUGGGUUCUCCCUGGUGCACUCGGCGCUGCUCAGGCCAGCAUCAGUUUCAGCGGUUGGAUAAAGGCCUAGGGAACGUGGGUUACUUCGGUGACUGUUAUAGCCCUAGGUGCAAUGCAGCCUGCUGGGACUGAGGACCGCGCUUCGGCUAGGAUGCUGGCGUAAUGGUUGUAAGCGACCCGUCUUGAAACACGGACCAAGGAGUGUAAUAUUUAUGCGAGUUUUUGGGUGUUAAACCCAUAAGCGUAAUGAAAGUGAACGGAGGUGAGAACCCUUCAGGGUGCAUCAUCGACCGAUCCUGAAGUCUUCGGAUGGAUUUGAGUAAGAGCAUAACUAUUGCGACCCGAAAGAUGAUGAUCUAUACUUGAAUAGGGUGAAGCCAGAGGAAACUCUGGUGGAGGCUCGCAGCGGUUCUGACGUGCAAAUCGAUCGUCAAAUUUGAGUAUAGGGGCGAAAGACUAAUCGAA
rnacentral:rRNA from 1 species